rnacentral:rRNA from 1 species
GACGAACGCUGGCGGCGUGCCUAAUACAUGUAAGUAGAACGCACAGUUUAUACCGUAGCUUGCUACACCAUAGACUGUGAGUUGCGAACGGGUGAGUAACGCGUAGGUAACCUGCCUGGUAGCGGGGGAUAACUAUUGGAAACGAUAGCUAAUACCGCAUAAUAUUAAUUAUUGCAUGAUAAUUAAUUGAAAGGUGCAAUUGCACCACUACCAGAUGGACCUGCGUUGUAUUAGCUAGUAGGUGAGGUAACGGCUCACCUAGGCGACGAUACAUAGCCGACCUGAGAGGGUGAUCGGCCACACUGGGACUGAGACACGGCCCAGACUCCUACGGGAGGCAGCAGUAGGGAAUCUUCGACAAUGGACGAAAGUCUGACCGAGCAACGCCGCGUGAGUGAAGAAGGGUUUCGGAUCGUAAAGCUCUGUUGUAAGAGAAGAACGGGUGUGAGAGUGGAAAGUUCACACUGUGACGGUGUCUUACCAGAAAGGGACGGCUAACUACGUG